UGGGGAAUAUUGCACAAUGGGCGCAAGCCUGAUGCAGCCAUGCCGCGUGUGUGAAGAAGGCCUUCGGGUUGUAAAGCACUUUCAGCGGGGAGGAAGGCGUUAAGGUUAAUAACCUUGGCGAUUGACGUUACCCGCAGAAGAAGCACCGGCUAACUCCGUGCCAGCAGCCGCGGUAAUACGGAGGGUGCAAGCGGUAAUCGGAAUUACUGGGCGUAAAGCGCACGCAGGCGGUCUGUCAAGUCGGAUGUGAAAUCCCCGGGCUCAACCUGGGAACUGCAUUCGAAACUGGCAGGCUAGAGUCUUGUAGAGGGGGGUAGAAUUCCCGGUGUAUCGGUGAAAUGCAUAGAGAUCUGGAGGAAUACCGGUGGCGAAGGCGGCCCCCUGGACAAAGACUGACGCUCAGGUGCGAAAGCGUGGGGAGCAAACAGG
rnacentral:rRNA from 1 species